rnacentral:rRNA from 1 species
CAGUAGCCACGGUAAUACGUAGGUCCCGAGCGUUGUCCGGAUUUAUUGGGCGUAAAGCGAGCGCAGGCGGUUAGAUAAGUCUGAAGUUAAAGGCUGUGGCUUAACCAUAGUACGCUUUGGAAACUGUUUAACUUGAGUGCAAGAGGGGAGAGUGGAAUUCCAUGUGUAGCGGUGAAAUGCGUAGAUAUAUGGAGGAACACCGGUGGCGAAAGCGGCUCUCUGGCUUGUAACUGACGCUGAGGCUCGAAAGCGUGGGGAGCAAACAAGAUUAGAUACCCCAGUAGUCCCUGUCUCGUAUACA